rnacentral:rRNA from 1 species
CCUACGGGAGACAGCAGUGAGGAAUAUUGGUCAAUGGACGAGAGUCUGAACCAGCCAAGUAGCGUGAAGGAUGACUGCCCUAUGGGUUGUAAACUUCUUUUAUAUGGGAAUAAAAUGUUCCACGUGUGGGAUUUUGUAUGUACCAUAUGAAUAAGGAUCGGCUAACUCCGUGCCAGCAGCCGCGGUAAUACGGAGGAUCCGAGCGUUAUCCGGAUUUAUUGGGUUUAAAGGGAGCGUAGGUGGAUUGUUAAGUCAGUUGUGAAAGUUUGCGGCUCAACCGUAAAAUUGCAGUUGAAACUGGCAGUCUUGAGUACAGUAGAGGUGGGCGGAAUUCGGGGUGUAGCGGUGAAAUGCUUAGAUAUCACGAAGAACUCCGAUUGCGAAGGCAGUUCACUGGACUGCAACUGACACUGAGGCUCGAAAGUGUGGGUAUCAAACAGGAUUAGAUACCCCAGUAGUC